rnacentral:lncRNA from 1 species
UUUGUAUGUUUAUGAAGUUUAGGGGUGGCUGAAAGUCUCACAUUCUUCUAAGAGUAAAGUCUAAAUUGGAAAAUAGUAAAAAUUGCAUACUCACAAAAUUAGGCAUAUUCUAAAUCAUAGUAUAACUACAUCUUUAAUUAUGUCUCCCGAACAUUCAGUAGAAAAGGGAAAAUAACACUCAGAAUCCCAGUAGAUUUAGGAAGAGAGUUAGGAACAGAAGACAGUCUCCCUUUAGUUUUGCUCCUCUUUUAAAUAGUAGUGGUUUUUUAUGUGCCUUCCAGCUUCUCCCCCACUGUGCCCUUCUUCUUCCCACAGGUCUCCAGUCCCCAGAUUUCUGUGCAUCCUCUCUCAUGCAAAGAAGGCUGGAAGACAAACUUGUGAAGCUAGAGGGUGUUUUUACUAAACACUAAAGGAGUUUUACUAAAGGAGUUUCAAGUGAGUGCCAUGAAAAGACCUAAUUAUUCUUAAGGAGAAUGGUAUUUCUGUAUGUUCCUACACUUGAAUUUUGACAAUAUUUUUCUAUGAAGCAUCAGAGCUGUUCAAGCCACAAUUCCAAAAGGGUGUGUGCUUUUUUAGAUUUGAUACAUAAUAUUUUUGAAUAAAAGUAGGCUUUUUGCUGGGGCUAAAUAUUAAUAUUCUUUAACAAUCAUUCCAAUCCAUAGAGUGAGAUUACAAAAUCUUUACUAAGGAAAUUGCUUGUAAAGUGUAAUGUCAAACAAAUAUUAAUAACGUAAACACAUUAACUAUAUAUUGGUAAAUAAUGAGUGAUAUGGUAGAUAAAUGAAAAACAAAUGCUAUCGAUUAUGAUAUAGUUUUUAAUGACAUUCUUUUUUGGCUUGGAUAGGCUUUUCUAUUUUUUUUUUUAAACUUAUUUUGAGAUAAUUGUAGAUUUGCAUGCAGUUUUGAAAAAUAAUAAUACAUAAUAAUAAUACCAUAUUCCCUUUAUCCAGUUUCUCCCCAUGGUAAUAUCUUGCAUACCUACAGUACUGUAUCACAACUAGGAAAAUGACAUUGAUACUACCCGCUGCCAUUAUUUAGAUACUACCAGUUUUACAUGCACUCAUUUAUGCAUGUGUGUUAAUUCUAUGCAGUUUUAUUGUGUGUAUAGAUUCAUGUGACCACGCCACAGUCAACACACAGAACAGGUUUAUCACAAGGAUCCCUCCUGCCACCCUUUCAAAGCGAAAGCCACUUUCUUUCUGCUCCUCCCCCACCUCCCUAACCCCAGAAACCACUAAUUCUGUUCAUCUUUAUCAUUUUGUCAUUUCAAAAAUGUUAAAUAAAUGGAAGAAUCCACUAUUUAACCUUAUGAGAUUGGCUUUUUCAUUCAGUAUUAUUCCUCUGAGACAAUUCCAGUUGUUG